GAUGAACGCUGGCGGCGUGCCUCAAACAUGCAAGUCGAGCGGGGCUAUGUAAUAUCGCAAGGUAGAACAUAGCCUAGCGGCGAACGGGUGAGUAACACGUGGGUAACCUGCCUGGAAGACAGGGAUAACGAUUCGAAAGGGUCGCUAAUACCUGAUAAUAUCCUUUCAUCGCAUGGUGAUAGGAAGAAAGGGGAAACCCGCUUUCAGAUGGGCCCGCGUCCCAUCAGCUAGUUGGUAAGGUAAAGGCUUACCAAGGCGACGACGGGUAGCCGGUCUGAGAGGAUGUACGGCCACACUGGGACUGAGAUACGGCCCAGACUCCUACGGGAGGCAGCAGUUGGGAAUCUUAGGCAAUGGACGAAAGUCUGACCUAGCGACGCCGCGUGAGGGAAGAAGGCCUUCGGGUUGUAAACCUCUGUCAGUGGGGGAAGAAGGAAGUGACGGUACCCAAGAGGAAGCCCCUGCUAACUACGUGCCAGCAGCCGACGGUAAAAGUACUCUAU
rnacentral:rRNA from 1 species